GUAACGAGCGCAACCCUUGUCCUUAGUUACCAGCACGGUUAUGGUGGGCGACUCUAAGGAGACUGCCGGUGGACAAACCGGAGGAAGGUGGGGAUGACGUCAAGUCAUCAUGGCCCUUACGGCCUGGGCUACACACGUGCUACAAUGGUCGGUACAAAGGGUUGCCAAGCCGCGAGGUGGAGCUAAUCCCAUAAAACCGAUCGUAGUCCGGAUCGCAGUCUGCAACUCGACUGCGUGAAGUCGGAAUCGCUAGUAAUCGUGAAUCAGAAUGUCACGGUGAAUACGUUCCCGGGCCUU
rnacentral:rRNA from 1 species